AUUGAACGCUGGCGGCAGGCCUAACACAUGCAAGUCGAACGGCGCGGCGGUCGGGUGAGUAAUGCCUAGGAAUCUGCCUGGUACUGGGGGAUAACGUCCGGUAACGGACACUAAUACCGCAUACUCUCAGCUUCGCCUAGGGCGGAUUGGCUAGUUGGUGGGGUAAAGGCCUACCAAGGCGACGAUCCGUAACUGGUCUGAGAGGAUGAGCAUUCACACUGGAACUGAGACACGGUCCAGACUCCUACGGGAGGCAGCAGUGGGGAAUAUUGGACAAUGGGCGAAAGCCUGAUCCAGCCAUGCCGCGUGUGUGAAGAAGGUCUUCGGAUUGUAAAGAACUUUAAGUUGGGAGGCGUUACCAGCAGAAUAAGCACCGGCUAACUUCGUGCCAGCAGCCGCGGUAAUAC
rnacentral:rRNA from 1 species